GUGCUUGCUUCGGCAGCACAUACACUAAAAUUGGAAUGAUUCAGAGAGGAUGAGGAUGGCCCCUGUGCAAGGAUGACACAAAUUCAUGAAGGUUCCAUAUUUUU